UCUUCUUUCAUUUUCUUUCUUCUUCUUCAUUCUUCUUCUACUCUUCUCUUCUUUUCUUCUCCGACGAUUCUGAGAGUUUCCUGGGUAUGUGAGAUCGAUCAUCGUAGGAGUUAUGCUAAGGAUUGAUGUCUGGUGGUGGUGAUUGUUGUUUACUGUUACGGGAAAAGAAGGAGUUGUUACUGUGAUAAUCAAAAAUUAGGGUUUUUAGAUUAAGACUCGAAUUGGUAAUUGAGUUGCUAAUGGUUAAAUAACGAGGGGGUUGACGUUCGAUUGAAGUGGUGAGGUUGUUUGAAGUGGAAUUGAGGAGUUAGGGUUUCAUUAGAUGAACCAAAGAAGGAUUGGAAAAUGAAAUUGAGGUUUUAGCAGAGUAAUUGGAGAUGUGUUUUGUUUAAUUAAAGAAUUAGCAUGUUGUUUUGUGUUCGAAUCAGAGAAGCUUUAAUUUGGUAAUUAUUUUAGGGUUCUUCUGAGAAUAAAUGAUGGGGAUGAAGAUUGUGAGUUGACAGCUAGGGCUCGAUUAUGUUAGUAAGAAGAUGUUAUAGCUAUUAUUGGUGUUGAUUCAAGACUCGGGAGAAAAGGGGAGGAGAUGUGUAUUGGUGGUGGAGCUGUAAUUGAAAUUGAUUUGGUGAAUUAGGAAUGCAAAUUACAGUUUGUAAGGAGGGUGUUGAAUUGAUUUGGCAGAUUUGUUACAUGGGUGUGUCGGUUGUUGCAGAACUGGAGUUGCAGUUGCAGAGUUGUGUUGCUGCUGAGUUGUAGAUGUAUGAAUCAGUUGUGAGGUGAAUGGGUAAUGGAAUUGAGUAACUGUGGUGUUUUGGAGUGAAUGGAAUUAGAACUGCUUAGUGUUGCAGAGUUAUAGUAGUAUGGUUGAAGUUGCAGGGGAUAUGAGUGAUCUGCUGAAGUUGUGGAGUGCAGCUUGUGGUUGUAAUUGAUCUGAGUUGGGUUGCCUGAAGUACUAGUGAUGUUGUUGUUCAUGGUGUAAUGGUUAUGUAUUGAGGAUUUGUAGAUGAAACUGAAAUGUUGAGUUAUGAUGUGUGAGUUGCAGUUAAGGUUUAGAUGAGAGGAUUGAAUUGGUGUUAGUUGUUGUUAGUGUUGUUGUAAAAGCUUGGAACUGCAAUUGCAGGUAGGCUUAAAUUACAAUUGUAUUGAAUUAUAGAAUUAUGUUUGAAUAGAUUGAAAUUGAAAUAUAGUUAAGAGCUCAAA